UGUAUCUCUCAUUCUUCCAUGUAGCUAGAGACUUAGAAUAACCAACGGAACUUUCUCAAUUUUGUGUUUUCGCUCUUCUCAGAUUUUAGGCUGGGUGUAUAGAGAUGUGCGGCACACACUGAAUUUAGAUUUCACUUGGAAUAUAUCAUUGUGCCAUGUUCAAAAUUAGAACUACAUAGAAGAAUGAAAUUUUGUGAUUGGGCUGCUGUGGUGUUUCUUUUUAAAUAAAUGGCAUGCUAACUUGCUGGUUUAAUUUAGGUGUGUAAGAUAGUGUCUCCUCUCCGUUGCAACAAUCAACUUUCUCAGGUUUGUCCAGUGGUUUGAUGCAGCUGAACCAUAGAAGCAACCAAUAGCUAUUCUGAAUAAUUAUGACUGUUCUCAGCUAAACCACACCUGUACUAGCUAAACCAAGGAAGCAACUUAUGAUCAAACCUGACAAUGGUUAGCAUGAUCAGGUUGGAGGCGUUAUUUCUCGUGAGGAGGUCUUUUUGCUCAGUCUUGGUUUACUAGCUUCAUCCGGUUUUGAAGUGUCGGCAUGGUGUACAAGCCUGUUGACGGGAUAUCUCAUAACUGAAACCAUGAACAACAAGUGCUUCGGUUAUGGUGUUGGCGAUCCAUUGCUUGAGGCGACAUCGUGUGCAAGAUUAUUCUUGUGGAGGCCACUGGCACAGUGGCACCCUCCUCGGUCUGCUGAUCCCAUUACCCAGGUUGCGUGUUGCGCCUAAAUGUUGGAUAUAUGGUGAUCUGGUAAUGCCGAUUUGGGAAAGCAGGUGUACAAUGUGUGUAAAUUAAGAAAACAAUUUAUAAUCUGUGAUGUGAUCACUGCAUUUUAAUUUAGUAUAUGCGAUCCCCUCAAGUAGGGAAGUAUUGAAUGCACCUCUCUGGCAAGUGCACGCAUAAGGGUACCAUUUUUUACUCAAUCGAUUUCAAAGCAAGGCAUGAGACUGACAUACACUCUUUAAUUGCAUCGUGUAAAGAUAUGUGGUGUGAGGGG